rnacentral:SRP_RNA from 1 species
GCCGGGCGCGGUGGCGCGUGCCUGUAGUCCCAGCUACGCGGAAGGCUGAGGCUGGAGGAUGUCUUGAGUCCAGGAUUUCUGGGCUGUAGUUCACUAUGCCGAUCAGUUGUCCGUACUAAGUUCGGCAUCAUAUGGUGACCUCCUGGGAGCGGGGGACCACUAGGUUGCCUAAGGAGGGGUGAACCAGCCCAGGUCGGAAACAGAGCAGGUCAAAACUCCCGUGCUGAUCGGUAGUGGGAUGGCGCCUGUGAAUAGCCACUGCACUCCAGCCUGAGCAACAUAGCGAGACCCUGUCUCU